CUACACUUCCCACAAUACUCUAAGCCUCCCAGGAAGCACUUGAGCAAGAAGUAGGCCCUAAAUGGCUUCUGUCCUACUCAGUGACAGCCAGGAGGAGGCCUGGAGUGAGUAAGGAGCUGUUACUGAAGUAUUGCUGCUAGUCUAUGGUUAGAGUUGCCAACUCUGAUCUCUUUCCUGCCAACAGAAAGAAGACAGUGGCCGUGUAUUUGGUGAGGACCCAGGAGA